rnacentral:rRNA from 1 species
UACGUAGGAUCCGAGCGUUGUCCGGAUUUACUGGGUGUAAAGGGUGCGCAGGCGGACUGGUAAGUCAGAGGUGAAAUCUCGUCGCUUAACGACGAAACUGCCUUUGAUACUAUCAGUCUUGAGUCCGGUAGAGAUCUGUGGAAUUCCGAGUGUAGCAGUGAAAUGUGUAGAUAUUCGGAAGAACACCAGUGGCGAAGGCAGCAGAUUGGGCCGGUACUGACGCUCAGACACGAAAGCAUGGGGAUCAAACAGG